ACGUCAUUUACCGUUUUUAAGAAGCCUCUAUGGGCAGUACAUCUAUUUUUCGUUGCCGUUUAAUGAUGGGAUGGCCAUUGGUUUGGAAAACUAACAAGUAGGAGCAUAAUGAAUAAUGUUCAAGCACGCGCGAAACCAAGAGGUGUGAAAUUGGGCUCACGGGCUGUACUUAAGUAUUCGGUUUUCUGGGUUCUGGAAAGUGCACCAGAUGACCACCGGAGAAACGGUUUUUGGCGGAAGUGCCAGCAAGUACCCGAUGAGAACCUGCAGUUCGUGCUGACGGCGAGCGCAAUUACAUAAAUAUUUGUUUUGACAACAAUAGAGGAGCAGCAACAAAAACUAUAAAAAAAACAACGCCGGAGACGAGAUUGCAUAAUUGCUUGUAAGAUUUUGCGCUCCCACAAUUUUUCAUCUCAGUCAUGAGACAAACAUACCGGCUGAUUGUUAUCGUAGAAGAGAGAAAGAGAGGAACAGAGAGUGAUCCUUUUACCGCAAGUUAGUGUGUCUCAUUUUCGAGCUUUUUCGCCUGCAAAAGCUGCGAUAGAGAUGCCGGGUGAGAGAGUCACAGUGGGCAGUCUGUGUAUAUUGGUGCUGUUUAUCUAAAUGUAUUCAAAUAUACCCAUAAAUUGUAAUGUA